rnacentral:tRNA from 1 species
AGCAGGGUGGUCCAGUGGUUAGGACGCUGGCCCCAUGAGCCAGAGAUCCCAGGUUCGAAUCCUGGCCCCGCUA